AACGAACGCUGGCGGCAGGCCUAACACAUGCAAGUCGAGCGCCCAGCAAUGGGAGCGGCAGACGGGUGAGUAACGCGUGGGAACCUACCUUACGGUCGGGAAUAGCUCAGGGAAACUUGAGGUAAUACCGGAUACGCCUUACGGGAAGAUUUAUCGCCGUUAGAUGGGCCCGCGUCGGAUUAGCUAGUUGGUGAGGUAACGGCUCACCAAGGCGACGAUCCGUAGCUGGUCUGAGAGGANGAUCAGCCACACUGGGACUGAGACACGGCCCAGACUCCUACGGGAGGCAGCAGUGGGGAAUAUUGGACAAUGGGCGCAAGCCUGAUCCAGCCAUGCCGCGUGAGUGACGAAGGCC
rnacentral:rRNA from 1 species